AUACGGAGGAUGCAAGCGUUAUCCGGAUUUAUUGGGUUUAAAGGGUGCGUAGGCUGUUCGACAAGUCAGCGGUGAAAGCCCGGCGCUUAACGCCGGAACUGCCAUUGAUACUGUCGAGCUGGAAUACGGAUGCCGUGGGAGGAAUGAGUAGUGUAGCGGUGAAAUGCAUAGAUAUUACUCAGAACACCGAUUGCGAAGGCAUCUCACGAAUCCGUCAUUGACGCUGAGGCACGAAAGCGUGGGGAUC
rnacentral:rRNA from 1 species